AGUCCACAUCGACGGGGAGGUUUGGCACCUCGAUGUCGGCUCAUCACAUCCUGGGGCUGUAGUAGGUCCCAAGGGUUGGGCUGUUCGCCCAUUAAAGUGGUACGCGAGCUGGGUUCAGAACGUCGUGAGACAGUUCGGUCCCUAUCCGUCGCAGGCGUAGGAAAUUUGAGAAGACCUGUCCUUAGUACGAGAGGACCGGGAUGGACGUACCUCUGGUGUACCAGUUGUUCUGCCAAGGGCAUGGCUGGGUAGCUAUGUACGGAAUGGAUAAGCGCUGAAAGCAUCUAAGCGCGAAGCCAACUUCAAGAUAAGAUUUCCCACCGCAAGGGUAAGACCCCAGAAAGACUAUCUGGUUGAUAGGUCGAAAGUGUAAGUGCAGCAAUGUAUUUAGCUUAUCGAUACUAAUAGGUCGAGGACUUGACCAAU
rnacentral:rRNA from 1 species